rnacentral:rRNA from 1 species
CGUAGGUGGUUUGGUCAGUCAGAUGUGAAAGCCCUGGGCUUAACCUGGGAAUUGCAUUUGAUACUGCCAGACUAGAGUAUGGUAGAGGGAAGUGGAAUUCCGGGUGUAGCGGUGAAAUGCGUAGAUAUCCGGAGGAACAUCAGUGGCGAAGGCGGCUUCCUGGACCAAUACUGACACUGAGGUGCGAAAGCGUGGGUAGCAAACA